rnacentral:rRNA from 1 species
AGAACGAACGCUGGCGGCGUGCCUAACACAUGCAAGUCCAACGUGAAAGGGGAGCAAUCCCCCGGUACGGGUGGGCAAACGGUAGGAGUAAUAACAUGGGUGGAUCUACCUUAGGGUAGUGGGGAGUAUCCUUCCCGAAAGGAAGGGGCGAAUAACCGAACUAAUUGUUCCGGACGGCCGUCGAAGGGUUACCGGGGGUAAACGGGGAAGGGCCGUCCUGAUACAAGACUUU